AUUGAACGCUGGCGGCGUGCUUAACACAUGCAAGUCGGGCGGUAACAGGCGUAGCAAUACGUGCUGACGAGCGGCGAACGGGUGAGUAAUGCUUCGGAAUCUUCCUCGUAGUGGGGAAUAACCUGGGGAAACUCAGGCUAAUACCGCAUACGAACUACGGUUGAAAGCAGGGGAUCGCAAGACCUUGCGCUAUGAGAUGAGCCGAAGUCGGAUUAGCUAGGUGGUGAGGUAACGGCUCACCAAGGCGACGAUCCGUAGCUGGUCUGAGAGGACGACCAGCCAACCUGGGACUGAGACACGGCCCAGACUCCUACGGGAGGCAGCAGUGGGGAAUAUUGGGCAAUGGGGGCAACCCCGAUCCAGCGACGCCGCGUGUGUGAAGAAGGCCUGCGGGUUGUAAAGCACUUUUAGUGGGGAUGAAAAGCCGAAGGCUAAUACCUUUCGGUCUUGACCUAACCCAAAGAAAAAGCACCGGCUAACUCUGUGCCAGCCGCCGCGGUAAUAC
rnacentral:rRNA from 1 species